CUCUCUCUCUCUCUCUCUCUCUCUCUCUUGUUCUCUUUGAAAUUUUCUUACAAAAUUCAUGAUCCACGAAUAUCUAUCCGUCCAAAUUCAAAUCCGAUUUUGGUAACGUGAUUUACAAAACCCGAUCUACGUUUCUACCGAUUAGUUUGAGGAUUUGCACGGUUUAGAGCCUCCCUAACACUUUUCUAGUAUUGGAUUUCGUUUGGGCAUGUUUUGUAAUGCAUUGCAUGGUGGUGUUUAAGAGACCUAGUGCGUAAUAUUCGCGCAGCCAAGACAUUUAUACUUUGGUUGCAGGUUUUGCGGAUAUAAAUAUUGACUCGUCCACCUAGCAUAUGGGAUGCUAUGAUUGGAGCAUAUCGCGACAGUCGUAAGUCACGGACUCAUGGGUAGUCCGCAUUUUGGGUAUUAUAUUUAUGGCUCGUGUCCUACGUGGCACACGUAUUUGUUAGGCCUGUAUUUUGGUAUGUAAUUAGUGUAAUGUGUUUUAUAAGCCUUAAAUAGAUAGACUUGUAAAUGGCUCUUGUUGUUGAUUACAGUUAUGUAUUAGAUGUAAUUCCGCUAUUGAUAUGUGUUCCGCUGCACAUUGAUAUUUA